rnacentral:rRNA from 1 species
CAGUAGCCACGGUAAUGCGUAGGUGGCAAGCGUUGUCCGGAAUUAUUGGGCGUAAAGGGCUCGCAGGCGGUUUCUUAAGUCUGAUGUGAAAGCCCCCGGCUCAACCGGGGAGGGUCAUUGGAAACUGGGAAACUUGAGUACAGAAGAGGAGAGUGGAAUUCCACGUGUAGCGGUGAAAUGCGUAGAGAUGUGGAGGAACACCAGUGGCGAAGGCGACUCUCUGGUCUGUAACUGACGCUGAGGAGCGAAAGCGUGAGGAGCGAACAGGAUUAGAUACCCCUGUAGUCCCUGUCUCUUUACA